rnacentral:rRNA from 1 species
GACGAACGCUGGCGGCGUGCUUAACACAUGCAAGUCGAACGGAAAGGCCCUGCUUUUGUGGGGUGCUCGAGUGGCGAACGGGUGAGUAACACGUGAGUAACCUGCCCUUUACUUUGGGAUAACUUCAGGAAACUGGGGCUAAUACCGGAUAGGAGCUCCUGCUGCAUGGUGUGGUUUGGAAAGUUUCGGCGGUUGGGGAUGGACUCGCGGCUUAUCAGCUUGUUGGUGGGGUAGUGGCUUACCAAGGCUUUGACGGGUAGCCGGCCUGAGAGGGUGACCGGCAACAUUGGGACGGAGAUACGGCCCAGACUAAUACGGGAGGCAGCAGUGGGGAAUAUUGCACAAUGGGCGGAAGCCUGAAGCAGCAACGCCGCGUGCGGGAUGACGGCCUUAGGGUUGUAAACCGCUUUCGCCUGGGAAGAAGCGUGAGUGACGGUAAUGGGUAAAGAAGCACCGGCUAAAUACGUG